rnacentral:lncRNA from 1 species
GAAUACCUUCCAAAGUCUGGAGGCAAUGUUCCAGACAAAUUAUUGAUGAACACUCUGAACUGUUUGAGAUUUGGUAGACGGCCAAUGCUUGCUGGAACCGCACCAGAAAAACCAUUUAAAAACAAAGCUAACCAUGUUAAUUUGGUAAGGUUUCCAUAAUCUUGUGGUAUUGGGCCUGUUAAAUGGUUUGUAGAAAUAUCAAUGACAGUCAAGUUCAAUGCUUCAACCACUUGAGGUACAUACCCAGACAGGCUGUUGUUGUAGAGAUAGAUUAUACUCAACUUCUUCAACAGAAACAAAACACUUGGGAUUGUCCCAUUUAAACUGUUGGUUGCCAAAUCCAAUUCUUCCAGUGCUGCCAUUUCUCCAAGUGUUCCGGGGAGUUCUCCAAUCAAAUUCGAUCCGCGUAUAUACAAAGUCUUCAAGUUUUUCAACUUGGUGAAAUUGGAAGGUAGAUUCCAUGGCACAAGUUUUGUAUUGAAAGAGAGACUUAGGUGUUUAAGAUUGGACAAGUUACCUAUUUCUGGUGGCACGGAACCAUUAAAGUUGUUCAUAUACAGCUGCAGGUUCCUGAGCUCUUGUAACCGCCCAAUAGCCGCCGGUAUGUCACCAGAAAAGUAGUUAGCGCUAAGGUCAAGGUAUUGAAGCCGAUGCAAGCUAUCGAUAUCGUCAGGAAUCUUGCCAUCAAAGGAAUUUUGAGAGAGGUUCAAGUACUGUAGCUUUGAACAGUUGUAGAAAGCUUUUGGGAACUCUCCAGCAAAGUUGUUGUAGCUGAGAUCAAUGAGUGUGAGGUUCUUGAGAUCACAAAUGAAAGGUGGAACUGGUAGGGUGAUGUUCGUGUGGACCAGAGACAAUCCGGUGACGGAGUUGUUUGUGCAGGUGAUCUCAGGCUGCCAGGAACAGUGGGAAGUGUUUGAUGUUGAUGGAAUCCAAUGACUGAGGAACGGUGGAGAUUGCAAGUAUGACUUUAUUUUUAGCAGAACAGCUUGUUCUUGGUCUUGCAAUGACUGAGAGUUGGCAUGGCUGAUGAGGAGGAGGGGGAGGAAGAGAAGGAAGCAGAGAUGGGUGUGGAGAGAAGAUGUUAGGGUAGGUUCAGUCAUUUGGUGAUGGAGGUUCAGAAGUUGGUUUGUUCCCGCGGCAUGAACUCUGGUUUUGAUGACAAGACAAGUAAGUUAAGGGAAGUUGAUUUCCUUGUAGUGUUGGAAAGUGGAAACUUCAAAACCAUUUGCAGGGCCACAAACGAAUGCAAACUUUUGGCAAUUUGAGUGGAGGACCUGGAAAAUGAUGGUCAACGGAGACCAUUUAGCCUACCACCAAUUAGUGGAGGACCUGGAAAAUUAUGGCAAUUUGAGUGGAGGACCUGGAUUGUUCUUAUCAGUUAGCUUAGCUGUUAACUUAUUAUAUUCGAAGGUUUGUUCACAAGAAACAAAGUUAUAUCAGGAGCCCAACCAAUUGACUUUUUGUUUUGUUUUGAUCAAAUGUGGGUCAGGGGUUCGAACUUGGUACCUCAUCCAACGUGGGGAAGAGAAGUAGCACUAGACCAAGAGCUACUUGAUACCAGUUGAUAUUCUAUAUAUGUUAUGGUUAUGGCAGCUAAAAUCCUCUCCUUCCUUCCUUGCCAAAGUUUUAAACUGCAAGAAAUUAUAUUGUUAAAGCCACAAAUGUCUGCAGAAGAUAAGGCAAGUUUUCGAAUAAAACAAGGCAGGCUGAAAGCCAAACGUGACGUACGUGAAGGGCAAGACGGCAUUGAAAGUUCCUUCCUGGAAUGUCACGUGUGAACAGAGAACGCCAUUGUUGAAUGAAGACUUGAUUUAUUGCUUUUUAAUUUUAAUGGGAGACUUUGAUCCCAUAUUGUUAUUAUUUUCCACUGAUACAGACGGGAGGAGAAAAAUGAAAAAAAAAAUUCCACUGGAAUGAAAAGUUGCAGAGGUGUGACGAAAUGGCAUUAAUUGGAAAACAAGCAAGAACCUAGGUGGGUGGGUUGUUGUCCUAACACACUCACGUUUGUUUGUUUCAGUUCUAGAAGAUGCACAAAAUUUCAAUUCAUGUGGGCUUUGAACUUUGGAGAAAAGUUGAGUCAUGAUAUCAAUGGGUUUUGGUGGAAAUAGAUUUGUAGUCUGUCAAAUAUAUGGACUGCAUUAUUUCUAAAAGCUGAUAGUGAAAAGCAGUAUGCAUCCAGAUGCAGUGCAGGGCCAACAACCAAGAUGCUGGAAAAAAGAAAUGCAAGUUUUCUGUUGACCAAUCUUGGCCUCUCUUCUUCUACUCAAACUUUAUGUGUAUCAUGUGAACUUUUGACUCAAAAACCAAGCGUCAAGGACCUUGCUGAUAACUUAAUGAAAUCACAAAUUUCUUUAGAUAUUAAUUAGAUAUUAUCACGUUCGCACGUGCAGGUGCAAACUGUAUGAAGUUAGUUAUUUACCCCAAAAGAAUUCAGAAAAAUUAUUUUCAUAUUGUAUGAAGUUUGUUGACUCAAAAAAGUCACCACUCACCACUCACCACUCACCUACAGGAAGCCCACGAAAUUAGUUUGGGCCUUGACUGAUUGAAUUGACUGCUUAGGGCCCUCAGUUUUCUACUUUGUUUUUGUUUUUGGUUUUUAAUGUAAGAGAGAGUCUAAGCCCAGUUUGGUCUGGUCCGUUAUUUUCUCUCUUGAUUAAAGUCCGUUCGGCUUGGCCCAAGCCUAAUAAAUUUUGGACCGAAUUGGCCUGGCCCAUUGACUAGGCUUAGCUACAAGGGGGAGAGGUUUCUCUUACACAUACAUUACGUAUCAAGGUGUCAUGAGAGUUCAAACUAAGACCACUAGUUAGCAAGUGAAUGCCCUUUUCCACUUGGCUAGACCCCGUUGGCUCCUACUUUGUUUUAUUAUUACUGAGUUAAAAUUAAAAUAGAGAAUCCCCUAAUAUAAAUUGAAUUUCCUUAUGCUUAAAGGACUAUGUUUGGUCAGACCGAAACAAAAAGGACUGGAAAUCUCUACAAAUGAUAAAAUAGAGAAAAGGGCACUUGUUUUCACAUCCCGCAUCAAUUAGUAUCGCACCGUUGAGUAGCUACUUAUCAGAUUGGCAAAAUCCUUGAACGGCUAUAAUCUAAUGCUUGGCUAACAAGUAAAGGAUUAUGAACGGCUAUGGUUACGUGCGAGUUUAAUGAGAUUAGGAUUCGUUUUUAGUUUCGUUCUAUGUAUUUUAUUUUCAAUUUCACGUUUGUCCCAGUGAGAUUAGGAUUUCCUUAUUCUGAAAGGAUAGGAUUUUGGUCUGAAUUGUUUAUAAAUACAAGUCCACUUGUUCUCACACUUGGCAUAGCAAGAAAAGAAACCCAGUAGAGUUACCUCAAUCAAAGACGAUCCAUCAAUAUCACUAAUCUUCGUCUUCUUUUUUGACAGUGCAAGCAAACUUGUUGAAGAUGGACUUCGAGCAGUUUUAUCGUUGUUACUCUGUCUCCUCAAUUGGCAAGCCACAUGCGGAAAACGGUGAUAAAAUUAUAAUGCCGCCGUCGGCUCUCCAUCGCCUUGUUUGGGGUCCACAGGUGGCCUACCCUAUGCUGUUUCAGCUCAACAAUCCCAAUUCUGAAUCUGGACGAGUUACUCAUUGCGGGGUCUUGGAAUUUGUUGCCGAUGAGGGCUUUGUAUUUUUACCAUCUUGGAUGAUGCACAACCUGCUUUUACAAGAGGGUAACCUUGUUCAUGUCAAAAGCCAAAGCCUUGGGAAGGGAACAUAUGUCAAACUGCAACCUCACACCAAGGACUUUCUUGAUAUCUCAAACCCUAAAGCCGCUCUGGAGACGGCGUUGAGGAGCUACUCUUGUUUAACCAUUGGUGACACUAUCAUGCUUCCUUAUAACAGUAAGAAGUAUUACAUCAACAUAAUUGAAACAAAGCCCUCCUCUGCAAUCUGUAUAGUUGAUACCGACUGCGAGGUUGAUUUUGCCCCUCCUCUUGAUUAUGUGGAGCCUGAAAAGAAGCCAGCACCAUCCACUCUGCCAACGAAGAGACCACAAGAAGUUGAAGAAGAUGAACAAGAGACACCUGAAAAGAUAGCAAAGUUCAGUCCCUUUACUGGUUCAGCCAGACGAUUGGAUGGAGAACCGGUCUUGACACAAUCCGUUGCACCUGCAGUUCCCUCUCCUCCGGAACUCAGGCAGCGCCAACUGGAGAGUGAAAAUGGAACCAACAAAAAGGGUUCUAAGUCAUCAGCUUCUGCUUCACUUCAACAUUCUGGAAAGCUUGUGUUUGGUUCAAAUGUGAACCGGCCUGUGAAUGCAAUCCCAAAAGUUGCCCCAAACAACCGCAGCAGGCAAGAGCCCCCUCACAAGGCAGAAGAGCCAAAGUUGCAAGCAUUCACAGGGAAGAAGUAUACCCUGAAAGGGUGAAGUUAGGGCAUAUCGAUCCUUCAUCUAAAACAUAUGAAUUAAACGCUUAGCUAAUAUGUAAAGGGUUAGGAACGGCUAUGGUUGAAAACUUGGAUAAUAAGUAACACCCAGAGUGGGAGAAUCUGUUUCCUUUAUUAUUUGCUUGUUCUGAAUACCAUCAAUUAAAUUUUGAAGCAAUUGGAAUUGUUAUCUUUUCUACUCCUUGUUCUCUGAUUCUUCCUUUUGUAAUUUUCAUACAUGAUUGGUGCCAUUAAAAUAACAACUCAAUGUACGUAAUAAAUAUCUUUCAUACAUACAUUACACAUAAUUGGUAUUGUUUGCUUGUUAAGCUCAUUUAUCCUGGAUUGGAUUGCGUAAUAAAAUCAGGGAUGUAAACUGUGAGUAGUUUACUUUUAUUGCUUGCACUCUCAGGGAAUUAAGUUGCUUGCAUCUCUAAAUCUUCUCAAUGGUGGGAUGACUUUUGUUGAGCAUCGGAGCAAGAUAUGCAGAACCUGCUUCACUAAUUUUCUCUAAGACUGUUAUCAGAUAUACAAGCUGUAGCAUUACAUUGCAAUCACUAAUCAAGAUCAAUGCACAAUUCUGAGUUUUCUGUUCUCUGCUUUCUUCCUUAUUCUUCUCUAAAUUCCUCUACUGUCAUCAACAACAUCGCCUGUACGAUUGACAGGAACACAAUAAACUUUUCCUGAGCCGCCACUUCCAAUCAUAAUACUUUUUGAAACUCUGAAAUUCAACCUCUGAAAUAAGGUGAGCUUCCAAUCAGAAUCCGAUCUGUUUCUCUUCCAAUAAGCUCUGACCAUGAAGAAUGAUAAGGACAAAGCCAACAAGGACAAAAGUAUGCCCAAAGUUAAGAUCAAUGCAAGAUAUGUAGACCAAAUUUUGCUGGAAUUUCGAGGUUGAAAAUUACAUAUGCUGAGUUUUGCUGAGGGCCUAGCUGCACAGAGACCUUGAUUGUCCAAGAAGCUUCUGUCAUAAGCAGGAUUUUCAAAUUCAAUUGGGAUCUUCCCAGAUAGGUGAUUGGAAGAAAGAUUGAAGUUGCUGAGCUUCAGAUUCCCAAGUUGAGCUGGAAUUUGGCCAGAAAAUUGGUUUUCUGAAAGGUCCAGUUCAGUAAUGACUGGUAGAAGACCAAGUCCUGCUGGAAUUGGUCCAGAGAGUUGAUUUCGACUCAAAUUAAGAGCGUUGAGUGAUUUCCAUGAUAUAAUCUCUGAUGGAAGGAAGCCAGUAAGCUGAUUCUGAUCAAGAGAAAGAGUGAUUAAGCUAGGAAGAGUAGUAAGUUUCUGAGGGAUAGUACCGUUAAAAAGGUUAUUACCGGCGUCAAAAACCUUCAAGUUCCAGGAUGACACCCCGGUUGGAAUGUUACCUGAAAAUCUGUUAUCUCUUAUUUCCAGCCGUGUAAGAUUCCGAGACAUUUUCUCAGGAAGCUCACCGGUAAGAGAGUUGUUGCUCAUCAGCACGUGAAUCAAGUUUGGUGCUGUCCACAUGCCACUAGGAAUGUUCCCAGACAAUCCAUUACCAUAAACCUUCACUUCUGUUAAACUAGUGCAAUUUCCAAGAGAGCUUGGUAACUCCCCAGUGAGAUUGUUCUCAUAAGCUACAAGUGUUGACAGCUUACCCCAAUAGCACAAAUGGUCUGGCAGUUUGCCAGUGAGCCUAUUCCCCGAAACCUCGAACCCUUCAAGCUCUGAAUACCUUCCAAAGUCUGGAGGCAAUGUUCCAGACAAAUUAUUGAUGAACACUCUGAACUGUUUGAGAUUUGGUAAACGGCCAAUGCUUGCUGGAACAGCACCAGAAAAACCAUUUAAAAACAAAGCUAACCAUGUUAAUUUGGUAAGGUUUCCAUAAUCUUGUGGUAUUGGGCCUGUUAAAUAGUUUGUAGAAAUAUCAAUGACAGUCAAGUUCAAUGCUUCAACCACUUGAGGUACAUCCCCAGACAGGCUGUUGUUGUAGAGAUAGAUUAUACUCAAAUUCUUCAACAGAAACAAAACACUUGGGAUUGUCCCAUUUAAACUGUUGUAUGCCAAAUCCAAUUCUUCCAGUGCUGCCAUUUCUCCAAGUGUUCCGGGGAGUUCUCCAAUCAAAUUCGAUCCGCGUAUAUACAAAUUCUUCAAGUUUUUCAACUUGGUGAAAUUGGAAGGCAGAUUCCAUGGCACAAGUUUUGUAUUGAAAGAGAGACUUAGGUGUUUAAGAUUGGACAAGUUACCUAUUUCUGGUGGCACGGAACCAUUAAAGUUGUUCAUAUACAGCUGCAGGUUCCUGAGCUCUUGUAACCGCCCAAUAGCCGCCGGUAUGUCACCAGAAAAGUAGUUAGCGCUAAGGUCAAGGUAUUGAAGCCUAGGCAAGCUGUCGAUAUUGUCAGGAAUCUUGCCAUCAAAGGAAUUUUGAGAGAGGUUCAAGUACUGUAGCUUUGAACAGUUGUAGAAAGCUUUUGGGAACUCUCCAGCAAAGUAGUUGUAGCUGAGAUCAAUGAGUGUGAGGUUCUUGAGAUCACAAAUGAAAGGUGGAACUGGUAGAGUGAUUUUCGUGUUGACCAGAGACAAUCCGGUUACGGAGUUGUUUGUGCAGGUGAUCUCAGGCUGCCAGGAACAGUGGGAAGUGUUUGAUGUUGAUGGAAUCCAAUGGCUGAGGAACGGUGGAGAUUGCAAGUAUGACUUUAGUUUUAGCAGAACAGCUUGUUCUUGGUCUUGCAAUGACUGAGAGUUGGCAUGGCUGAUGAGGAGGAGGGGGAGGAAGAGAAGGAAGCAGAGAUGGAUGUGGAGAGAAGAUGUUAGGGUUGGUAUAGUCAUUUGGUGAUGGAGGUUCAGAAGUUGGUUUGUUCCCGCGGCAUGAACUCUGGUUUUGAGGACAAGACAAGUAAGUUAGGGGAAGUUGAUUUCCUUAUAGUGUUGGAAAGUGGAAACUUCAAAACCAUUUGCAGGGCCACAAACAAAUGCAAGCUUUUGGCAAUUUGAGUGGAGGACCUGGAAAAUGAUGGUCAACGGAGACCAUUUAGUCUACGACCAAUUAGUGGAGGACCUGGAAAAUGAUGGCAAUUUGAGUGGAGGAACUGGAAAAUGAUUGUGCUUAUCCGUUAGCUCAGCUGUUAACUUAUUAUAUUUAAUUGUUUUUUUACAAGAAACAAGUUAUAUCAGGAGCCCAACCAGUUGACUUUUUGUUUUGUUUUGAUCAAAUGGGGGUUCGGGGGUUUCGAACUUGGUACCUCAUCCAGCGUGAGGAAGAGAAGUAGCACUAGACCAAAAGCUACUUGAUACCAGUUGACAUUCUAUAUAUGUUAUGGUUAUGGCAGCUAAGAUCCUCUCCUUCCUUCCUUGCCAAAGUUUUAAACUGCAAGAAAUUAUAUUGUUAAAGCCGCAAAUGUCUGCAGAAGAUAAUGCAAGUUUUCGAAUAAAACAAGGCAGGCUGAAAGCCAAACGUGACGUACGUGAAAGGCAAGACGGCAUUGAAAGUUCCUUCCCGGAAUGUCACGUGUGAUCAGAGAACGCCAUUGUUGAAUGAAGACCUGAUUUAUUGCUUUUUAAUUUUUAACGGAAGACUUUGAUCCCAUAUUAUUAUUAUUUUCAAUCGAAACAUUCUGAAGGGUAAGAAGAAUAACGGCAGCACGUCUGGUUUUCCACUGAUACAGACAGGGGAAGGAGAAAAAUGGAAAAUAAAAUUCCACUGGCAAAGAAAAGUUUCAGAGGUGUGACGAAAUGGCAUUAACUCAUGUGGGUGGGUUGUUGUCCUGACCCUAACACACUCACAUUUGUUUCUUUCAGUUCCAGAAGAUGCACAAAAUUUCAAUUCAUGUGGGCUUUUAACUUUGGAGAAAAGUUGAGUGAUGAUAUCAAAUCAAUGGGUUUUGGUGGAAAUAGAUUUGUAGUCAAAUAUAUUGACUGCAUUAUUUCUAGAAGCUGAUAGUGAAAAGCAGUAUGCAUCCAGAUGCAGUGUCACUUGUGAGCUUUUGAGUCAAAAACCAAGCGUCAAGGACCUUGCUGAUAACUUAAUAAAAUCAAAAAGUUCUUUAGAUAUUAAUUAAGGGAUAUGAUUUCCCCACUCCCCUUUUCUCCACCUACACUCCCUUUUGCUUGUUAAUACUUUUUAAUCAAUUUUGUUCAUUUUCUUUCCUAUUCUACCUUUACCUUGCUGAGCAGGCCUGUGAAUGCAAUCCCGAAAGUUGCCCCAAACAACCGCAGGCAAGAGCCCCCUCACAAGGCAGAAGAGCCAAAGUUGCAAGCAUUCACAGGAAAGAAGUAUACCCUGAAAGGGUGAAGUUAGGGCAUAUAGAUCCUUCAUCUAAAACAUAUGAAUUAAACACUUAGCUAAUAUGUAAAGGGUUAGGAACGGCUAUGGUUGAAAACUUGGAUAACAACACCCAGAGUGGGAGAAUCUGUUUCCUUUAUUAUUUCCUUGUUCUGAAUACCAUCAAUUAAAUUUUGAAGCAAGUGGAACUGUUAUCUUUUCUACUCCUUGUUCUCUGAUUCUUCCUUUUGUAAUUUUCAUACAUGAUUGGUGCUAUUAAAAUAAGGGAGAUUCACUAUUAUACCCAAUAUAUGAGCUGAAAUUAUUAUUUAAAAAAAAAAAAACCCUUAUAUGAAAUAGAUUUUAGAAAGACACCCAAAGCCUAUUUACAACAUAACAAAAAGGCUUUUAGCUUAUUUUAAAUUACAAAACUAUCACUAAUUUCUUAAAACAAACCCAACUCCAAAAUCUCAUAAAAAAACCCAAAACACCAAAAGGGCAUCAAAGUAACUUAAUAAUCAAAAUUAAAUUUAAUAGGGCCACUGUCAUUUUUUAGGUUUUUUCUUUUUUUUAUAGAAAUUAAAUGGUGUAGAGUUUAUCUAUAUUAUUAGUGCUAAGAAUGGGUACAUGACUAAAUAUCCCUUAAAAUAACAACUCAAUGUACGUAAUAAAUAUCUUUCAUACAUACAUUAUACAUAAUUGGAACCGUUUGGUUGUUAAGCUCAUUUAUCCUGGAUUGGAUUGCGUAAUAAAAUAGGGGAUGUAAACUGUGAGUAGUUUACUUUUGUUGCUUGCACUCUCAGGGAAUUAAGUUGCUUGCAUCUCUAAAUCUUCUCAAUGGUGGGGUGACUUUUGUUGAGCAUCGGAGCAAGAUAUGCAGAACCUCCUUCAUGGAAGGCCUAGCAGAAGGAAGUGUCUCGGUGCAAUAGAUGCCAAGUUUGAAAACGGAGCACAUUUCAUCCAAGUAACAAGGUUCUUUGAUGUCCUGGUCCAGAGCAUCGACAAGUGGGUAGUUUUCUUGAAAGUGGUGCCGCGCCCAUUCAGCAAGAGAAGUGUGUUCGUCGCCAUCAUUAGCUUCCCUUCCAGUGGUCAACUCCAGAAGGAUGACCCCAUAACUAUAUACAUCAAUCUUCUCGUUCACUCGUGUUGUGUGAGCAUAUUCUGCCAUCAGGUUAGAAAACCCGGUUGACUGAGAUUGCUAAUGGAAACAGAGGAAAAAUAACACACGUUUCUUUAGGAACUAGACUCCAACAUUUGUGGGGGUGUAAUGUUUACCUGGGGCAAUGUAGCCGAAGGAGCCAGCAACAGCUGACAGUGUAACAAGUUCUCCGUGCUUGACCAAGAUCUUGGCUAGACCAAAAUCAGCUAUUUUUGCAUUAAAAUCAGAGUCCAACAAAAUGUUACUCGAUUUCAUGUCUCGAUGCACAACGGGUGGCACACAGUCGUGAUGCAUGUAGCAGAGGCCCCGAGCAGCUCCCACUGCAAUCUGCAACCUCUUAGGCCAGUCCAGCACAACAUGGUGGACUGAACUCGUGAGAUUGGAUGGCCUGUUUCUCUUGUGAAGCCAUUGAUCCAGGCUUCGAUUCUCUGAGUACUCAUAGACAAGAAGUUUUGAAUUGUCCUUGGAUAUACAGCACAUCAGCUUCACUAUGUUGGCAUGUCGUAUGGAACUCAAUAUCUUGACUUCUGCAAGAAAUUCUUUUUCAAGCUUCUCUUCUAACUUCUUAUCUUUCCAAAUCUUUUUCACGGCAACAACAUCGCCUGUACGAUUGACAGGAACACAAUAAACUUUUCCUGAGUCGCCGCUUCCAAUCAUAUUACUUUCUGUCAAUCCUGAGAAUUUUUGACACUCUGAAAUUCAACCUCUGAAAUGCGGUGAGCUUCCAAUCAGAAUCCGAUCUGUUUCUCUUCCAAUAAGCUUUGACCAUGAAGAAUGAUAAGGACAAAGCCCACAAGGACAAAAGUAUGCCGAAAGUUAAGAUCAAUGCACGAUAUGUAGACGAAAUUUUGCUGGACUUUAGAGGUUGAGAAUUACAUAUGCUGAGUUUUGCUGAGGGGUUAGUCGCACAGAGACCUUGAUUGUCCAAGAAGCUUACGUCAUAAGCAGGAUUUUCAAAUUCAAUUGGGAUCUUCCCAGAUAGGUGAUUGGAAGAGAGAUUGAAGUUGCUGAGCGUCAGAUGCCCAAGUUGAGCUGGAAUUUGGCCAGAAAGUUGGUUUUCUGAAAGGUCCAGUGCAGUAAGGACUGGUAGAAACCCAAGUCCCGCUGGAAUUGGUCCAGAGAGUUUAUUUCGACUGAAAUUAAGAGUGUCGAGUGAUUUCCAUGAUAUAAUCUCUGAUGGAAGGAAGCCAGUAAGCUGAUUCUGAUCAAGAGAAAGAGUGAUUAAGCUAGGAAGAGCAGUAAGUUCCUGAGGGAUAGUACCGUUAAAAAGGUUAUUACCGGCGUCAAAAACCUCCAAGUUCCAGGAUGACACCCCGGUUGGAAUGUUACCUGAAAAUCUGUUCUCUCUUAUUUCCAGCCAUGUAAGAUUCCGAGACAUUUUCUCAGGAAGCUCACCGGUAAGAGAGUUGUUGCUCAUCAGCACCAGACUCAAUUUUGGUGCUGUCCACAUGCCACUAGGAAUGUUCCCAGACAAUCCAUUAUCAUGAACCCUCACUUCUGUUAAACUAGUGCAAUUUCCAAGAGAGCUUGGCAACUCCCCAGUGAGAUUGUUCUCAUAAGCUACAAGUGUUGACAGCUUAUCCCAAUAGCACAAAUGGUCUGGCAGUUUUCCAGUGAGCCUAUUCCCCGAAACCUCGAACCCUUCAAGCUCUGAAUACCUUCCAAAGUCUGGAGGCAAUAUUCCAGACAAAUUAUUGCUGAACACACUGAACUGUUUGAGAUUUGGUAGACGGCUAAUGCUUGCUGGAACCUCACCAGAAAGAACAUUAUAAGACAAAGCUAACCAUGUUAAGUUGGUAAGCUUUCCAUAAUCAUCUGGUAUUGGGCCUGUUAAAUGGUUUUCAGAAAGAUCAAUAACUUGCAAGUUCGAUGCUUCAACCACUUGAAGUAUGUCCCCAGACAGGCUGUUCCCUAACAAAUCCAAUUCUUCCAGUGCUGCCAUUUUACCCAGUGUUCCAGGGAGCUCUCCCAUCAGAUUCGAUUCACUUAUAUACAGAGUCUUCAACUUUUUCAACUGGGUGAAAUUGGAAGGCAGGUUCCAUGGCACAAGUUCUGUAUUGUAAGAGAGACUUAGGUGUUUAAGAUUGGACAAGUUACCUAUUUCUGGUGGCACGGAACCAUUAAAGUUGUUAAUAGACAGCUGCAGAUUCCUGAGCUCUUGUAACCUCCCAAUAGCCGC